UGGUAAUACCGGAUGCUCCGCUCCAUCGCAUGGUGGGGUGGGAAAUGCUUUUGCGGCAUGGGAUGGGGUCGCGUCCUAUCAGCUUGUUGGCGGGGUGAUGGCCCACCAAGGCGUUGACGGGUAGCCGGCCUGAGAGGGUGACCGGCCACAUUGGGACUGAGAUACGGCCCAGACUCCUACGGGAGGCAGCAGUGGGGAAUAUUGCACAAUGGGCGCAAGCCUGAUGCAGCGACGCCGCGUGCGGGAUGGAGGCCUUCGGGUUGUAAACCGCUUUUGUUCAAGGGCAAGGCACGGUUUCGGCCGUGUUGAGUGGAUUGUUCGAAUAAGCACCGGCUAACUACGUGCCAGCAGCCGCGGUAAUACGUAGGGUGCGAGCGUUAUCCGGAUUUAUUGGGCGUAAAGGGCUCGUAGGCGGUUCGUCGCGUCCGGUGUGAAAGUCCAUCGCCUAACGGUGGAUCUGCGCCGGGUACGGGCGGGCUGGAGUGCGGUAGGGGAGACUGGAAUUCCCGGUGUAACGGUGGAAUGUGUAGAUAUCGGAAA
rnacentral:rRNA from 1 species